AACAAUAAAAUGUGUGUUUCUCUUACUAUGUUUAUAUUUAAUUAAAUUCUUUACAAGUAUGCUGCAAGAGUAAAGCAUAUAUACUACAAUUAAAUAAAUAUUUGUUCAUUUGUUUUCAUUGUUUGAAUAUUUGUUCAUAGAUAGAUUGGUUUUGAAGACACCAAUACUAACAUAUCUAAUCUAAUGGCUUUUGACAAUAGUGCGUUUUAAGUUAUUGUCGCUUAUUCAUAAACAAAAACCAUGAAUAUCUUUUUUAUAAUUGCUAUAAAUAAUUAGCAAAUAACUUAAUAAAGACAAGUAUAAAGUAAAAAUGGACAAAAGUGCAAUAGUUUUCGGAAUAUGAAAUGGACGUAGCAUAUAUUCGGUUAUGGAGGUAUUAGUUAAAAAGAAAGUCCUGUUUGUUCACUUACAUUCACUGAAAGGUCAAGACUAAAUAUUAAAACGUGUGUAACCAGUUAAUUUGUCAUGAAUAGUUUGCAAACCGACAUACACGCCUACUAAACGCAAGCUCAUACGUCUUCAUAUUAUCGGUGGUGCAAAUUAAAUGAGCUGGAAAUACUCCCACGGUGCAGCUCUGGCUUUUGUGUUUUGUACACACUGAGAUAUAAAGCCAUAUCAUACAUUCAUGUCAUUCAAAUUCAGCCACUCAGAGAGAUGGAAAGGAUUGCAAAGCUGAGUUUUACUUUCAGUUUUACUCUCACCUGACUUAUGCAGAUACAGUAACCUACUUGUAUGUUCAAAUUGUAUAUUUUUUUUCUAUCAAAAAUAUAAUAUGGUCCUUUAUGAGGAAUUAGUUGGAAAGAAAAGAUAAAUUAUAGAUAUCAUAAAAGUAAUUUGACAUACAAAAAGUGGACAAAAAAGUUGAACAGAAUGAAGUUUUGAAUUAGAAAAUCCCUACUUAUCUCUGUAUGUAUGUUAACCGUAUUAUGAUCAUAUGUGAAAACAUGAUGUAUUCCCUUAACUAAUUGUGUUAAAACCUUUUUACACUGUAUGUUUACAUUUUUACAUGUAUAUUGCCAUAUGCACUGAAUUCAUGUAGUUGCUUUUGUAUACAUGUGUAUUGAAAUCAAAACAUUCCUUUGUUAUAUCUUUAGGUUUAAGAAAAAAGGCCAAAAAAUUCCAACAUGGAGCCUUACUAAAUCAACUUGGUGUAAUUUGACAAUUAAAAUUCUUCAGAAUUCGACGGUGGUUGUACCAUGCAGCAGUCAUACUACGAAGUGUCUCAGAGAUUUUUUUUCUAAAUUCUGCAAUAUUGAGGUACAGUUUAGCGCAAAGAGGAUUAAUCUUCUGACAGUUAGAAGUAAAUGUUCUUUUAAAUUAACAUUAACCGUUCCUGCAUUUUGAUUUAUUAUAGAGUGAAUAUGUUUCCAUAUUAAAUGUUGUCUUUUAUGUGUAAAUUUCACAUGCUAUAAAUGGUUACAAAUACAUGAACGCACAUUUUGUUUCUUAAUAUAUGCACGUUUUGAUUCCAAUAAUUAAACACUCAAGCGUAUUAAAUUUGUUUCCUGUUGUUUGUUUCUAAACAAUUAGUAGUAUGUAUUCGUGUUGAUAGUUACCAUGUCAAUUCAGAAAAUGAGUAAAUUUUUAAACAGUUACCAUGGUAGCCAGAGUCUAGUGUUCUAGGGAAACUGUCAAUGUUGUCUUAAAUUUAUUUACCCUUAAAAUUUGAUGACAAUGUCAUUCUUAUAUUUAAUUGUUAAGAAUUGCUUAGUGGUUUUUAACAAUUGUCAGGAAAAUCAAUCCAAGAUAUACUUACAGAAUUUUCCUGUUUAAUAUAAAAUGAUGUUUCUUAGCAUUUUUUAUUUUUAUUGAAUGGUUACAAUAGCAACUAAUUUUUUGUUUGCCUUAAACCUUCCUAUUUAUAAUACUAUUCAUUGUGAAAAUGCAAAUGUUCAUCAGUGAAUGUAAGAAAAUAAAUGUUCUGUAACUUUUACUUUAUUGUUAGCUCAUGCUUCAAAAUAUGCGGCAUAUUUAAAAUUUCCUAAAAAUAACAAAAAUAAUUAUCGUGAAAUAUUCUGCUUAAAACAUUAUUUUAACUCUGAUUUUUAGAAAUUUGUAUUAAAUUUAUAGAAAAUAAAGAAAACAUUUUGUUUACAUUUCUUAUUUCAUUUAAAUUCAGAGGUUGUGAAUUUGACCUAUUUGGCAGAAAAAAAAUAUAAAAAUGUAAAAUUAAAAAAAGCCAUAAUUCUGUCAAACUAUGAUGGAUUUUUAAAAGAUAUGCAUAUUUGAGUUUGUAAUGACCAAACCUUUAAAAUGGUAUAUCACUUGACAAUACCACAUGAAAUUAUUUAUUUACGUUGUUAUUGCUAUCAAUAGUUUAUAUAGUGAAUAAUAUUUGAUAUUGUUUUCCUGUACGUUUAAUUAACAAAGAAUAAUGUAUUUAUUGCAACAACCAGAUUACUUAUUGCAAUGAGUUAUUUGUGACUGUCUAUAUGUGCAUUAAUAUAACCAUUUUUAAGAAUCUAUUAAAUCAAUUACAUAAUGGUUGAACUUUCGGACAGCCUUAAAACAAAUGCCUAUUUGUAACAAUAAUACUUUAAUAAAGUCCUAUAGACUUUCGAACGUCAGUUUAUAUACAUAUUUUUUCCCUUUCCAUAUCAUUUGAUUUUCAUGGGUUUGUAGUCACUGUAAGGGUUUUCAGAGAAACUUGCAACAAAUUGCGCUUCAACCAAAACAAAAUGAUGAAAAUAAUAACUAAAUUGCAAAGCGG